ACACUUAAAUGAUGGUAUGGAUGCAUGUGGAAUUCUGGAUUAAAAGUACUUUUCCUUAGGGAUUGAAGGCUUGGCUCCACCAUUUUGGAAUCCAGUUAUGGUGGCGCAGAUUCUGACGUCAUUCUGCACGCCAUUGUUCUGCAAUGCGCCCUGCCCCCAACACUGCCAGUGCUUGCAAACUUAGAGGAUUUAAAUUCAUCACUAGUGUUUUGAAAUCCCAGGAUGUGUUCCUGAGACAGUCUUCGUUGUUUUAUUGUCCUGGGCAUUCUGCGUCCUUUCAGUCUGGAGAUUUUUAGCUUCCUUUGCUUCUGAGUCUCUAUUUGCAGUGCCCCGAUGCUAGAAACCUGAGAUCCCAUGGCUUCUCCAGAAUGGAGGCUUGGGCAUUGUCAGCACCCUCCUUCCAAGAGUUGAAAGUUCCUCUCUUCUGGAAGACAAACUGAUGUGAGGAUGAGGAGGAGUCAGAAAUAAACUCAUUCAACUAAUACUUGAGUAGCUACUGUUGCCUACAGUAUGUUCAAGGUUUUGCUAGUCAUCCAUAUGAUCACUAUUGACAGCUUGGGAGACUCACACAGGCUAGUGAAUUUCAGGAAUUAACAGAAACUGAACAGCUUCUAUAAUCCUGCAGGAAGUAACCUCUGGAUGGCACAAUGGAGUCUCACUCUGUUGCCCAGGCUGGAGUGCAAUGGCACAAUCUCAGCUCACCACAAGCUCCGCCUCCUGCGUUCAAGUGAUUCUCCUGCCUUAGCCUUCUGAGUAGCUGGUAUUACAGGUGCCUGCUACCAUGGCCAGCUAAGUUUUGUAUUUUUAGUAGAGACAGGGUUUCACCAUGUUGGCCAGGCUGUUCUCAAACUCCUGACCUCAAGUGAUCUGCCCGCCUAAGCCUCCCAAAGUGCUGGGAUUACAAGCAUGAGCCGCCGCACCCGGCCUCUGCUAAGUUUACAACCUGCAAAUUCUAUCCAAAAUAUAUACAUAUUUUCUUGUAUUUUUCAUUUAAUGCACCAAAAUAAAAAAAAAAUUGUUUUUCAUUUUCUGCUGGUUAUUACUUAGAGGCUAGAUUUAUUUUGUAAACUAUGCCCUAAAUUG
rnacentral:lncRNA from 1 species